rnacentral:rRNA from 1 species
GACGAACCGAGCGAACGUUAUUCGGAAUUAUUGGGCGUAAAGAGCUCGUAGGCGGUCUGUCGCGUCUGCUGUGAAAACUCAGGGCUUAACCCUGAGCUUGCAGUGGGUACGGGCAGACUAGAGUGCGGUAGGGGAGACUGGAAUUCCUGGUGUAGCGGUGAAAUGCGCAGAUAUCAGGAGGAACACCGGUGGCGAAGGCGGGUCUCUGGGCCGUAACUGACGCUGAGGAGCGAAAGCAUGGGGAGCGAACAGG